AUAUUUAAAGACCAGGCCUUGGACGCCGCAGCACUUCUAUCUCUGCUUGAUGCCUGCUGCCACGUGGCUGGUCCUCCUCCUCUUGCUGUGGCUGAGCCCUGGGGUGAAGACAGGCAGCUAUUCCCAACCCCAGAACCUUUGCUGUCUUGGAACAGAUCACCACUGCAAGAGGGGAAGUUGCUACUGUGAUGAAUUCUGCCAUGUGGUACCAGACUGCUACCCAGACCACAGUGUCCUCUGCAACCCUCGUAACUCACAUACAGGCCUGAUUCCACCUACAGCAAAGCUGGAUGCUAUGGUUGGCAGAGGCAAACCCUUUGCCUGCACUUCAGGCCAAAGCCGGGAUGUGGCCUAGAUGGUUCCUAAGGUCCCUGACAAUCCUGAGAUCUUGCAUCUUGUCUAUUUCAGGUCAAAGCUUCUCAGAUGACCAAGAUGGUGCUGCAGAUGGUGCUGAGGAUGGAGAACCCACCAAGCCCCGCUAGGAGCCACCUAGACUGGAUGUAGAGCAUGUUUUAUUUGCUUCCAAGAAGGAAGGCAAGAUUUCCUGGGUCCGUGAUGAUGGAAGGCUGACAACUCUUUUAUGGAGUUUGAGCUUGCUCCCAGCAGGGAAGACAAGUUCGAGUUUUUUUCCUGCUUCAAGGAUGGUAGAGAGCAGUCUUCAGCCUGAGACCCAUCCCUAGGCCCCAGCACCCGCAGAGCAGACACUGCGAUGACAACGGACGACACAGAAGUGCCCGC
rnacentral:lncRNA from 1 species